rnacentral:rRNA from 1 species
CAACGAAGGAGCUAGAUCCUUUAGGAUCCCGCACCAGAACCUGCGGCGGCGGCGGUCACGGAGAACUAGGAGGGCUGCGGUAGGACAGGAGCGCGGCGGUAGGAUAGGAGCAUUAGAUCCCAGGAGAGGAGCGGCGGCGGCGGGAUAUAGCCGGAGCUAGAAACAGAUCUUGAGAUCCCAAGAUGUGGCGGCGGCGGCGGCGGCGGCUUGGUCCCUCUGCGGCUACUGGCAACGGCGGCAGCACCUAGUGGUCCUACGGCGGCGGACGUGGCGGUGGCGGCGCCGCAGCGCCGACCGCAACCGCUUAGGUAAGGGUGAAAGGGUCUCCGCCGCCGAAGGCCGCUCCUCCGCUCGCUCGAGUCCCUCGAGACCGCCCCCGAACAGCGGCCACUCCGCUCCGGUUCCACCGCCGCGCGCCUGCGCUCCUCCGCCCUACCUCCUCCGCGUCCUCCUGCGGCCGGCCACCCCGAGGCCGCCCCCUAACCGCUCCCGCUGCCGCCAGCCGCACGAACGAACCCUCCUACCUCCGACGGAGCGACCCCGAGCCCGUGCCGUCGUGCCGCAACCCGGCAACGGCUACCGCGGUCCCGGUCCCGCCACCAAACUGCCCGCUGCUCCUCCUCCACGAUAGGAUCUCGGUCGUUGCCGCCGACGUCGAACUGCUACGCCCGCAGUUGUCGAACGAAGUCCCCGACGGCACUUGCCGCAACACGAGCGCGCGCUCUGGGCACAGACUAAACCUUUCUUAGUUAGGCCACUUCUUCUUCCGGUUACGUUGACGAGAGAUCGAUCCGUGACCUCAUAGACGUGGGGGUUACCUUACCAUGCUUAACGAUGACCAUGACUUGUAACUGUCCGUUCGUUGUUGUUUGUCUGAAACGACAAAAGUCAGAUGACUCUAUAAACAACCCGUAGUGGCUCCUUGCGGUCGUUUCCGCACUUCUUUAUGAGCGUUAGUCACACUGUACAGCACACUCUACUUCCACCGUUUGGUAGGUUUGAACUUCGGUUCGUACACCACCUAGGCGGUACCUACUACCUACCUGGCCACUCACAACUUCAAACUCGACACUUUGAAAUACGCUAGCUCGAGGACCACAUUAAUUCGUAUACCGAAAACACUACACAGUACAUCCAUCACUAACGGAUAUAAAGAAAGGGAGAAUUUAAACAACAUUAUUUCAACAGGAAACGUCUUCCUUCUAACUUGGCGGAAAACCAAAUCCAUCUUCGUGGGUAACUACAACCUCUUCAAAAUCUUCUUUACGUUCUCUUCCUACAUCAAGAUCCCACCAGGCGUAUAUCAUCCUUCCUACACUUGUUUUUACGUUCUCUUCCUACAUCAAGAUCCCACCAGGCGUAUAUCACACACACACACAGGGGACAAAACAAUAAAUCCGAAGUAAUAAGAUGUUUUAUAUAAAUAAUGAAACUAAUGAGUCUAAUGGUGUUUUAUAUAUUCAACAAAUCCGAAUAUAAAACAAUAAUAAGAUGUUUUAUAUAUUCAACAAACCCGUAUAUGUUAUUGAAUGGCGUUUUAUAUAAAACAAUAAAUCCGAAGUAAUAAGAUGUUAAAGACCGUUUAGUUAUUUGUACGGUAUGUAUUCAACAAAAACUUGGGGUUUUUAUAUAUAUACAGGGGACAACGUUGAAUGUUGGAGAAAAGGAAAUAAAGGAAAGAAUUAUAAUUUCCCUCCACUCAAAGAAAUUUUUCAAAUGUAACAAAUAUUUUAAAAUUUUGGUACCCUUUCAUCACGUAGUCCCUUCCAAGUGGUGAUCUGGGGGACUAACGUUGUUUUGUAGGAAAUACGACUAAUAAAAACCAUUAAUACAUAAAUUGUUUCGAGAGCACAAAACGACCGCGUACGGCAAACAAGGAGACGUUCACGGUGAAGCGACGUUGGUGAGACAGUAAGUACUUCUUACACUUCCGUUCCGAGGUAAGUUCCCUCGCGCCGAUCGUUGAUCCGGGAGAUCCACCUGCGCUAGAACUCGUCGUUUCUCGUCUACCAGGCUGUUCCGCUCGCACUAACGUCCGUUGACAAUGUGUACAGCUCAAACGACUGCUCUAAAGACAAGUUUUCCGCUCGCGCUCCGGUGGUGUUCCACCUGACCGCCUAACGAGAUUUUAACAACAUGUACGUUCUUGUCUCGUAAGCGCAAGGACAAACGGCUGCCCCGGUUGCUGCUCGACUCGAACGACAUCCGCCACCUCCGCGUGUGCAAGGGCGUGGACAAACGGCUCUACUUCUUCUUUCAACUGGAGCGCGGGCGACGGUAAUAGAGACGUUUCCGGAGACUGUCAAGCCACGAGUUUAGUUAACUACGGUUGUCUGGUCACUCCAGGUUAAUGGGGGACUAGACGCGUUUUUGACUUACGUCCGCGUUCUUGUGACUGAAGUCCUUGUCUCGUAAGCGUAAAGGCAAAUGGCUGCCACGGUUGCUGCUCAACUGGAGCGACAUUCGCUACCUCCGCGUGCGCAAGGGCGUGGUCAAGCGGCUCUACUUCUUUCAACCGGAGCGCGGGCGAGGGUAAUAGAGACGCUCCCGGAGACUGUCAAGCCACGAGUUUAGUUAACUGCGUUUGUCUGGUCACUCCUUUGUCUCUUCACCGGCCUACCCGUUAGUUGAGUAGACAAUUAACCUAACCCCCACCGUACUUGUUUCAUUUCUACUUCUUUCGUUCGAACCUGCGAUCCACCGCCGUGGUUGUCCCCUUCACAGUCCGCACUUGGUUUGUAGAUACCGAACAACGAAACUUAGAACGACCAGAUCCGUUCCAAAAAACAUUUGUAGACGUUCUCUGUUCUGAGUCGGGUAAUGUAUCCACCGCUGUUCACAUGUACUUUACUUGUCGCUCGUCAAUUCUUGAGUAAACGUAUCGUACCAAAUGGAGUAGUCUUAGUGGUUAAAGUACCGACGUAUACUAGAAUUUUCGACAACGUUCAAAGUUUUCCAGGGUCAAGAGUGUCAGUUACGGUCUUUGUAAGAAUUCCACCGCUGGUUAUCGAACUUUCAAAAGUAUGACAAAGAAGAGUUUUCGUAGUGUUAGUUUGUUCUGUCUACGUCAGCGUUGUUAGACGAGUAACUGGACCUAUGUUUCUCCAACGGUAGUGACUUUGUUCUUACGUUACGGUAAAAUAAGAUGUUUUAUAACGCAGGUUUCCAAACCAGACACUUUACUUCCUAUGGUUCAGAUAAGCGUGUUCUAUAACGUUUUACACUGUGAUUUACUGUCCCUCAAGGUUUAUUUCGUUUUCGUACCGUCGACCAUUGAGUGGUAGAGAACAAACUACAGUUUCGGUAUUACUGAGUUAUCGAAAACAUCAGGAACUGAGUGUCCCUCCGCUAGGAGAAAUCCGUCGAGAUGGUUUGAUACGUACACUACGAAGUACGGGG